rnacentral:rRNA from 1 species
GACGGAGGGUGCAAGCGUUGUUCGGAAUUACUGGGCGUAAAGCGUAUGUAGGCGGCAAGUUAAGUUCAAUGUUAAAGCCCACGGCUCAACCGAGGAGAUGCAUUGAAUACUGGCUAGCUAGAGGGUGUUAGAGGAAGACGGAAUUCCCAGUGUAGCGGUGAAAUGCGUAGAUAUUGGGAGGAACAUCGGUAGCGAAAGCGGUCUUCUGGGACAUACCUGACGCUGAGGUACGAAAGCGUGGGGAGCAAACGGG